UAUGGUAGAACCGGGGUAAGCGUGUAGGAGGAGGACCAGGUAAAUCCGGGCCUCAUAAACUCUGAGACGUGAUACCGAGCCGCUUCAGGCGAAGUCAUUGAUCCUAUGCUGCCUAGAAAAGCCCAGCAGCGAGUUGACAUGGUGCCCGUACCCCAAACCAACACAGGUGGACAGGUAGAGCAUACCAAGGCGAGUGGGAUAACUAUGGUUAAGGAACUCGGCAAAUUGCCUCCGUAACUUCGGGAGAAGGAGGACCCCAGUAGCGUGGUGAGACUUGCUCUCUGAGCGUGAAGGGGUGGCACAAAAUUGAGGGAAGCGACUGUUUACCAAAAACACAGCAGCGUGCUAAGCCGUAAGGCGCUGUAUACGCUGUGACUCCUGCCCGGUGCUGGAAGGUUACGGGGAUGGGUUAGUCCUUCGGGACGAAGCUCUGAACCUAAGCCCCAGUAAACGGCGGCCGUAGCUAUAACGGUCCUAAGGUAGCGAAAUUCCUUGUCGGGUAAGUUCCGACCUGCACGAAUGGAGUAACGACUUCCCUACUGUCUCAACCAUAGACCCAGCGAAAUUGAAGUACGAGUAAAGAUGCUCGUUAGCUGCAGAAGGACGGUAAGACCCCGUGGACCUUUACUAUAACUUGAUGUUGUGUUUUGUCAUAUGUUGUGUAGGAUAGGUGGGAGACUUGGAAGCAUGGACGCUAGUCUGUGUGGAGUCAUCGUUGAAAUACCACCCUGCAUAUGGUGAGGCUCUAACCUAGACCCGUUAUCCGGGUUGGGGACAGCGUCAGGCGGGUAGUUUAACUGGGGCGGUUGCCUCCUAAAGAGUAACGGAGGCGCCCAAAGGUUCCCUCAGCCCCGUUGGCAAUCAGGCGUUGAGUGCAAUGGCAAAAGGGAGCUUGACUGCGAGACCUACAAGUCGAGCAGGAGCGAAAGCUGGGCAUAGUGAUCCGGCGGUUGCGUGUGGAAGCGCCGUCGCUCAACGGAUAAAAGGUACCCCGGGGAUAACAGGCUAAUCUUGCCCAAGCGUCCAUAGCGACGGCAAGGUUUGGCACCUCGAUGUCGGCUCAUCGCAUCCUGGGGCUGAAGCAGGUCCCAAGGGUUGGGCUGUUCGCCCAUUAAAGCGGUACGCGAGCUGGGUUCAGAACGUCGUGAGACAGUUCGGUCCCUAUCCUCUGCAGCCGGAGGUGAAUUGAGGAAAGCUGUCCCUAGUACGAGAGGACCGGGACGGACGCAGCUCUCGUGUGCCAGUUGUCCUGCCAAGGGCAUGGCUGGUUAGCGACCUGCGGAAAGGAUAACCGCUGAAAGCAUCUAAGCGGGAAGCCUCUUCCAAGAUGAAUUCACCCACAGGGUUAACCUGGUAAGGCCCGUGGUAGACCACCACGUUGAUAGGCCGGAAGUGUAAGCGUGGCAACACGUUCAGCUGACCGGUACUAAUCGGCCGAGGGCUUGAGUUA
rnacentral:rRNA from 1 species